UGGGGAAUCUUGGACAAUGGGGGCAACCCUGAUCCAGCGAUGCCGCGUGGGUGAAGAAGGCCUUCGGGUUGUAAAGCCCUUUAGGCUGGGAAGAAGGAAUUGGGAUGAAUAAUCCUGAUUUUUGACGGUACCAGCAGAAUAAGCACCGGCAAACUCUGUGCCAGCAGCCGCGGUAAUACAGAGGGUGCGAGCGUUAAUCGGAUUUACUGGGCGUAAAGGGCGCGUAGGCGGUUGUAUGAGUGUGAUGUGAAAGCCCCGGGCUCAACCUGGGAAGUGCAUCGCAAACGAUACGACUAGAGUAUAUGAGAGGGUGGCGGAAUUUCCGGUGUAGCGGUGAAAUGCGUAGAGAUCGGAAGGAACGUCAAUGGCGAAGGCAGCCACCUGGCAUAAUACUGACGCU
rnacentral:rRNA from 1 species